rnacentral:lncRNA from 1 species
AUUUAUCAUUUAGCACCACGGCUUGCACACUGCAUGGUCCACAAAGCCGAGCAAUGACAUCUUUACCCAAGAAGUUUGCAUGGAAAAUGAAGAGGAGGACACCAGAUCCUAGGGACAGAUGGGGAGGAGACAAGAUAGAUGCUCCUAAAGCAUCACUCAGCACCUGGACUUCAUCCUACAGUUUUCAGAACUCUACAGAUCUUGUCCAAGUGACCCCACAAGAGAGACUUAUGUGGUGGCUUCCUUCUUUAUCAUGCAUGUGUGCCUGCUCCCUGCAGAGACCUUUAAGGGUACUUAAGAAGCCCUGGAACUGGAUGCCAAAAGCUCUGAAAGCUGACUGUCCUUUACAAGUGUGUGUAAUGUGAAGAUGUUCUAAGUGCUAGGAUGACAGGUUUAAGAUAAAUACACAUUUUUGUCUUUAUUAUAUGUACGAAUAAACAUCUGCAUCUGUUUUA